CUACGGGUGGCACCAGUGGGGAAUAUUGCACAAUGGGCGCAAGCCUGAUGCAGCCAUGCCGCGUGUAUGAAGAAGGCCUUCGGGUUGUAAAGUACUUUCAGCGGGGAGGAAGGGAGUAAAGUUAAUACCUUUGCUCAUUGACGUUACCCGCAGAAGAAGCACCGGCUAACUCCGUGCCAGCAGCCGCGGUAAUACGGAGGGUGCAAGCGUUAAUCGGAAUUACUGGGCGUAAAGCGCACGCAGGCGGUUUGUUAAGUCAGAUGUGAAAUCCCCGGGCUCAACCUGGGAACUGCAUCUGAUACUGGCAAGCUGGAGUCUCGUAGAGGGGGGUAGAAUUCCAGGUGUAGCGGUGAAAUGCGUAGAGAUCUGGAGGAAUACCGGUGGCGAAGGCGGCCCCCUGGACGAAGACUGACGCUCAGGUGCGAAAGCGUGGGGAGCAAACAGGAUUAGAUACCCGUGUAGUC
rnacentral:rRNA from 1 species